GACGAACGCUGGCGGCAUGCCUAAUACAUGCAAGUCGAGCGAACAGAUGGAGUGCUUGCACUUCUGACGUUAGCGGCGAACGGGUGAGUAACACGUAAGGAAUCUACCUAUAAGCGGGGGAUAACAUUCGGAAACGGGUGCUAAUACCGCAUAAUAUCUUCUUCCGCAUGGAAGAAGAUUGAAAGACGGCUCUGCUGUCACUUAUAGAUGACCUUGCGGUGCAUUAGUUAGUUGGUGGGGUAACGGCCUACCAAGACGAUGAUGCAUAGCCGACAUGGGAGGGUGAGCGGCCACAUUGGGACUGAGACACGGCCCAAACUCCUACGGGAGGCAGCAGUAGGGAAUCUUCCGCAAUGGGCGAAAGCCUGACGGAGCAAUGCCGCGUGAGUGAAGAAGGCCUUCGGGCCGUAAAACUCUGUUAUAAGAGAAGAACAAAUUGUAGAGUAACUGCUACAGUCUUGACGGUAUCUUAUCAGAAAGCCACGGCUAACUACGUGCCAGCCGCCGCCGUAA
rnacentral:rRNA from 1 species